UCUUUCAGUUUUCAUUCUCGCGAGCGUAAGUAAAGUGCGCAGUUGUAUGACAAAAACGGAAAUAAUAGAAAUUCUUCAGGUUUACAGCUCUAAAAUUAUUUAAAACGCAAUAAACAUUAAGAUUAAAUGUGAUCGCACAACUGAGUGGUGAAUUCGGUAACAAAUUUUAAGUUUAAAUGGUAGAUUUCGCAUAUUUCUCGUGAGUGACGCCACUUUUCACAUGGCAGCACACUUUGCAAUGCAGGAACCGUUACUUUUCUUUUGUGCGCGUGCUUCGUAAGUGCGCACUUGUUCGAUCUCUGUGUAUUUGUUGUUUUAACAUAACCUUACCUAACAGAACGGUUAAAAGAUAAAUUGUAAAUUUGUAUACACAUGCAUAUGAAACUCCUCGUGUUUUCGGCUUUAAAAUUGUUUAAAACGCAAUAAAGAUUUAUAUUAAAUGUGAUCGCACAAGUGCGUGGUGAAUUCGGUAUCGAAUUUUAAGUUUAAAUGGUAGAUUUCGCAUAUUUUUCGUGAGUGACGCUUCUUUUCACAUGGCAGCAAACUUUGCAAUGCAGGAACCGUUACUUUUCUUUUGUGCGCGUGUUUCGUAAGUGCGCGUGUUUCGAUCUCCGUGGAUUUGUUGUCUUAACCUAAUCUAUCUUAACCUAACGAUAAACUUAUGCAAUUCAACCAUUCUGUGCAGCGGGUCCCUCGGUCCUUUUGGACAUUCAGUGCAGAGGCGCGUUGGCAACCGCCUGCUACCUUGCCAGGACCUUCCGCCACCGCCAACAACAAGCGAGCAGGCGAACAACGGCAGCAUCCAGGGCAGCCAUCAAAAAAGGCUUUCAAUGGUAGACGAGGUCCUGCCACUGCCACCACCCACUUGCCUCGCCACUCCACUCCACUCCAUCACCCCAUCACCCCAUCACCCCAUCACCCUUCCCGCCCCGCCGCCUCCUCGUCGACCUCCGCGAACUCGCCAUCCUGCAAAGUCUACAUCCGAAGUCCUGUUGUCCGUUUUCCCGUUGCCAUGUUGGACGGCAAUGGCGAUAUUUGCUUUCCUUUCCGCCAUGAAACGGAAUGAAAUGCGAGGAGGCGGGAUGGUCAGGGGGUGGCAAAAAGGGGCUGGUAAAGGGGUUGGCCGGACUGGCCUGCGAAAUGUGGGUGGGCCGCGCACAUGGGGUGGAUAUUUCGCCAUUAUUGUAGCAAUUUUGAUCAAUGGCCCUAUAUUCCCGGCAAGCGCUGUCCGCCAACCCGAAAAGGACGAAGCAAAGGACCUACGACCUGCACACACAGCAUCCAAAUUAUUCGCUGUACCCUUAAAUAUGAUUGCAUAUGAAGGUUGGCAAUUCAUGGGGUUACAUCAAGCCAGAUUCAGACAUAUCUCGCGUCUGUUUCUCUGCGUCUGUGGCUGAAAAUCGGAAAAGCGGGAAAGCCUGCUGUGUACAGUAACACAAAUCGAAGCGGACACUAUAAAUAGCCACCCUCCGCGACGACGAAGGCGAAGACGAAGAAGAAGACGCCGGCUGUGGCGCAUCAAUAUCCAUCCAUCGUUUUGGGUUGAAUCGGAGGAAGGAGCGCACGGAUGCCGCCGAGGAUGUGUAUAUGCCAUGGAUAUGGACGCUGCUACUGGUACCAGAAGUACGGAGUACGGAGCACUGCUCGAUUAUCCGCUGGAGUGUGGGGGGAGGGGGUGGGGGGAGGCUAUUCCCUUGGCUGCCGGACGGUUGGCUAAAUGAAACACAUUCGGAGCGACAUUAAGUAAACAGACUAGCAACCAUGUCAAUGUCAAACGCACUCGCCGACGUCGACGUCGCUGUUACCGCCGCUGCUGCCGCCGCCGCUGCGAAUGCCACUGCCACUGCCGCCGCCUCUGCUAGCGACGCAGUCAACGUCGGGCACAUGUGCGUGGCCAUGUAACGGGAAAAGAGGCCGUGUGGACACCGCUGGCAGGACCCCCAUCCCCGUCCCACGCAGCCCCACCUCCACAUCUUUGUGCGCCACAGUAGGCGCACGUCCAGCAAACAAACUUUUGAGUGCAUUCUUGCAUAAUUUCAUUUUCAUAAAUUUAGCAUUCUUUAUCAAACCAUAUUGACCAAUUAUAUAAAUUUCAUGUUUUGCUUACAAUAAAAUGAAAUAUAUCAACGAAAU
rnacentral:lncRNA from 1 species